rnacentral:rRNA from 2 species
GUGACCUCAAAUCAGGUAGGACUACCCGCUGAACUUAAGCAUAUCAAUAAGCGGAGGAAAAGAAACUAACAAGGAUUCCCCUAGUAACUGCGAGUGAAGCGGGAAAAGCUCAAAUUUAAAAUCUGUCAGUCUUUGACUGUCCGAAUUGUAAUCUAGAGAAGUGUUAUCCGCGUUGGACCGUGUACAAGUCUCCUGGAAUGGAGCGUCAUAGAGGGUGAGAAUCCCGUCUUUGACACGGACUGCCAGGGCUCUGUGAUACACUCUCAAAGAGUCGAGUUGUUUGGGAAUGCAGCUCAAAAUGGGUGGUAAAUUCCAUCUAAAGCUAAAUAUUGGCGAGAGACCGAUAGCGAACAAGUACCGUGAGGGAAAGAUGAAAAGAACUUUGGAAAGAGAGUUAAACAGUACGUGAAAUUGCUGAAAGGGAAACGCUUGAAGUCAGUCGCGUUGUCCAGGGAUCAACCUUGCUUUUGCUUGGUGUAUUUUCUGGUUAACGGGUCAGCAUCAAUUUUGACUAUUGGAAAAAAGUCAAGGGAAUGUGGCAUCUU